UAACAUUUGAGUGAGUGGCGGACGGGUGAGUAACACGUGGGUAACCUGCCCUAAAGUGGGGGAUAACAUUUGGAAACAGAUGCUAAUACCGCAUAAAACCUAGCACCGCAUGGUGCAAGGUUGAAAGAUGGUUUCGGCUAUCACUUUAGGAUGGACCCGCGGUGCAUUAGUUAGUUGGUGAGGUAAAGGCUCACCAAGACCGUGAUGCAUAGCCGACCUGAGAGGGUAAUCGGCCACACUGGGACUGAGACACGGCCCAGACUCCUACGGGAGGCAGCAGUAGGGAAUCUUCCACAAUGGACGAAAGUCUGAUGGAGCAACGCCGCGUGAGUGAAGAAGGUUUUCGGAUCGUAAAACUCUGUUGUUGGAGAAGAACGUAUUUGAUAGUAACUGAUCAGGUAGUGACGGUAUCCAACCAGAAAGCCACGGCUAACUACGUGCCAGCAGCCGCGGUAAUACGUAGGUGGCAAGCGUUGUCCGGAUUUAUUGGGCGUAAAGCGAGCGCAGGCGGUUUCUUAAGUCUGAUGUGAAAGCCUUCGGCUCAACCGAAGAAGUGCAU
rnacentral:rRNA from 1 species